GAUCCUGGCUCAGGAUGAACGCUGGCGGCGUGCUUAACACAUGCAAGUCGAACGGAACUCCUGUGUUUGAGGUUUCGGCCAAGAAGACAGGAUGUUUAGUGGCGGACGGGUGAGUAACGCGUGAGUAACCUGCCUUGGAGUGGGGAAUAACACAGUGAAAAUUGUGCUAAUACCGCAUAAUGCAUUUGGGUCGCAUGAUUCUGAAUGCCAAAGAUUUAUCGCU
rnacentral:rRNA from 1 species